rnacentral:lncRNA from 13 species
UACUCUAGAAUGUUUGUUGCCAAGCGACAGCUCAUAAUAGUUGGACACAUAGCUGUGUCUCAGAUUCUCAUCUAUAUCCUUUUCCAGGAAAACUCUUCUCAGGUGUCUCCUCCAUCACUUUUCACCCUUAUUAGCAUUAGGAGGGAAGCAGAGAAAUGGAGAAUGGGUUGCAAAGUGCUUCGCACAGCACUUCUCUGGAGCAGAGAGGGUACAGAAUACAGGGAGACAAGCAACUGCAGAUUGGAGAAGAGCUUGAUACAUGAAGCAAAAGCAACUUAAUGGUGGAGCCAAACCCUGUUGAAAUGAGGCAUUCCUUCUUGACUGGUGGCAAAUCCACACAAUCGUUUCUUAUGAGAACAAAGAUGUCCUGAGCAAGGGUGAGCUGAACUUCUGCUUAUUGACAGAGAAAGCCCAGAUUUCAACUGUAAGGAUAUGCUCUUCAGUAUCAUUACUCUACACCUCCACAGAUGUACACCUUCCCUCACACUCCCCCUUUUAGCUUCUGGAACUUUCUCUACCUCAUCCUUGCUCCUAAAGAAAAACAGGCACAUCUACAUGGAUUCUCUUUAUAAAAUAAAAAAAAGUCCAAGCAGAAGAAAGAACA